UACGAAGGGGGCUAGCGUUGUUCGGAAUUACUGGGCGUAAAGCGUGCGCAGGCGGCUUCUUAAGUCAGGGGUGAAAGCCCAGAGCUCAACUCUGGAAUUGCCUUUGAGACUGAGUGGCUUGAGUACGAGUGAGGUGAGUGGAAUUCCCAGUGUAGAGGUGAAAUUCGUAGAUAUUGGGAAGAACACCGAUGGCGAAGGCGGCUCACUGGCUCGUAACUGACGCUCAUGCACGACAGCGUGGGGAUCAAACAGG
rnacentral:rRNA from 1 species